rnacentral:rRNA from 1 species
AUGACAGGCGAUGUGCAUCAUGAAGCUAAAGCUCAAGAUAUCAUCGAGUUUACUUCCCUGCCCACUCUAGGUGAGCUCUAUGAACCUGGUUGUCAGUUACACAUGAAUGCUCUGGAGAGUAUAUUUCAGAAGCCUGAGCCAAACAUGAGUUAG